UAUAAAGCAAUACAUAUUGCAGCCUCCAUAGUGAUUCUCUCUCCUACAUGGCACUCCCACCAUCCUGUAUUUUCUUCUCUUUGAAUUCUACAUUGUAUGCCUUUAGAUUCAGCAGUUAUCUUCUCUCUUGCCACAACAUCGCAUAAUUCCUUACAUUUUCUUCUCUCUUUUCCAUCAAUCAAUUGCCCCCGUUAAUUGCUCUUCCAAAAUAUGCCUUGAUUUCAAAAUUUUCUUCACUCUUUCCCACCCAUCAAUUGCCGCCCAUUAAUUGCUCUUCUAAACAUAUGUUUAAUUUCUCUUUGAAUCAUAUACGAAUCUAUCGAACGCGACGCAAUCGCCAUACAUUCGUCAACCACCCACUUUGAGGUUUCGGAUUUCAUCGUUGUCUCAACGUUCGAUUCUCCCUCACCGUCAUCUUCGGGUUUAUCAAUAUUCAAUUUUUGAGAUUUUGUUCCCAUAUAAAGAAUUCAUGGAAUUUUUCAAUUGGGAGAAGCUAGGCUAUCCUCCUUGUGGACUUAUAAAUGCUGCUUCGCUAAUGUGGUUCUCCAGUGUCUUAUAUACACCCGUCAACAUGCUGGCUACAUCUGCCUACAUCUUGGAGAGAGGCCACAAGCUAGAAUGUCAGAUGGAUAAAUGGUGUUUCCUGAGUGAUUUUCAAACUCAUGUAGAAAGGGCUAGCAAGAGUCAUACUGCAUUCAUUCCUAUUAGCAUUCACGAUUGAAUAAUACUGAUAGUAAUGUUGAGUGUGGGCAGCAGGAGGAUCCCAUGGUCAUUAUCAAACUAUUUAUUUAUUUAAUUAUAUUAUUAGCUUUUAUUGGACUUUUUCUUUUCACCAGUUAUACAAAUUUGGGGACAUAUUUGCAAUGUGAUUUUAGCUCUCUGGUAAACAAUUACUGAUUCAAGUGGAUUUUGUAUUGCCAGAUUUGCAAUUGAUAAAAUGCUGUCUUUUCAUUGAUGAAUUUGGUGGAGAAAAGACUGCUCAUCCUAGGUAUGAAGAGACGAGCUUUGUCCAACAUAUAUUUGGAGGUUGCCUUCAGUCUGAGGUUAUAUGCAGUAAAUGCAAUAAUGUAUCAAAUCGAUUUGAUCACAUGAUGGAUUUAACAGUUAGCUCCAUGGGAUGAUGAGUCUUUGGAAGAGUGUUUGGAUCAAUUCACUGUCGAAGGCGUAGAUGUAUUCCAUAAAUCAAUCUCUAGAUACCAAGCUCAGGGAGAAAGUAAAGAGUCUGCUUUUAUCGCGAGUAAUCAGCUCGCUGAAGAUCUUCACCAACCGUGCAAUCUUGCAGACUUUCGUGGAAGCUCAGAACAGCGUGACAGACGCGUCCUUGAGGAAUGUAUUGAGCCUCGUGAGGUCGAUGUACGUUAUGGUGAUGUUGGGUGAAGAUCCUGCGUUUAUCUGAUAUGGCUACUUAACAACGGAGAAUGUUGCGACAUUGAGGGAAGAAGUUGCAAACCUUUGCAAUGAGAUCCGGCCGCACGCGCUUGCCUUGGUCACUUCUUUCAGCAUCCCUGAUGUUUUUCUAAGUUCGACUAGGUUGCAGCGAAUUCUUGGUCGGUGUCUUAAGACCUGCGAUUCACUUCCUCUGCCAAGCUUGUAUUUUCUUAACUCUCGGAAUCAAAGGACUCACAGGGAAAGAUUAUCUAUCCUACAUAUGUAAUAGGAUAAUGACUUAUCCUAUAUGACAUUCUCAUAUCUCUCCAUUUCAAAAUUCCUCAACUCCCUUCAUUUGCAUUUAUUCUUAUUAUAUACAUUCUUAAAUUAUAUAAUUUUAAUUUUUUAGGUAUAUUGAAUUUAUAA